CAUUAAUGAAAUUAUAAUCCGGCGAGGGGAAAGGCGGAGGGUUGUAGCUGGCCUCUAGGGGCAUGUGCACGCUCUCUUCCGGACCUUUCGCCGUAUGGGCGCGGGGCGACCCGCGUCUUCAUAUACCUCUUCGUGUAGAAAGUCUUUGAAUGUUUUACCAUCAUCGAGUCGCGACUUCUAGGAGACGCGAUUCUUUGAGAAAAAAGUUAUUACAACUUUCAGCAACGAAUCUCUUGGCUCUCGCAUCGAUGAAGAACGCAGCGAAUCGGGAUAUGUAAUGUGAAUUGCAAAUCUACAGUGAAUCAUCGAAUCUUUGAACGCACCUUGCGCUCCUCGGUGUUCCGAGGAGCAUGCCUGUUUGAGUGUCAGUAAAUUCUCAACCCCUCUCGAUUUGCUUCGAGCGGGUGCUUGGAUGUUGGGGGCUGCCGGAGACACUGGAUUCNUCCAGGACUCGGGCUCCNCUUAAAUGAAUCGGCUCGCGGYCGACUUUCNACUUUGCAUGACAAGGCCUUUGGCGUGAUAAUGAUCCCCGUUCNCCGAAGUGCAAAAA
rnacentral:rRNA from 1 species